GACGAACCGAGCGAACGUUAAUCGGAAUUACUGGGCGUAAAGCGUGCGCAGGCGGCUUCGCAAGUCAGACGUGAAAUCCCCGGGCUUAACCUGGGAAUGGCGUUUGAAACUACGGAGCUGGAGUAUGGCAGAGGGGGGUGGAAUUCCACGUGUAGCGGUGAAAUGCGUAGAUAUGUGGAGGAACACCGAUGGCGAAGGCAGCCCCCCUGGGCCAAUACUGACGCUCAUGCACGAAAGCGUGGGGAGCAAACAGG
rnacentral:rRNA from 1 species